rnacentral:lncRNA from 1 species
GAACAGCGAGCGCUCAUUGUGCAGGCUGUCACCCUCGGCGACCGGAGAGACUAAGAAAGAAUAUAAUAGUUACAGUCUCUUCCGUUGUGGAAGUUUAUUUACAGAAAUAAAGGAGUUCCAUAUUGUACUCCCUAUUUGCUUUUCUAGUGCUACUUUCCUUGAAAUAAAGAUCGUUGAUAGCCAUAGCAUUUUCUUAAUAAAGAAAGUGAGUAG